CCAGGAGUAUGCUCAGGCCACAGAAGAGGCUUGCCUCUAGUGUCCUCCGCUGUGGGAAAAAGAAGGUCUGGUUGGACCCCAAUGAGACCUAUGAAAUCGCCAAUGCCAACUCCCGUCAGCAGAUCAGGAAGCUGAUCAAAGAUGGGCUGAUCAUCCGGAAGCCUGUGACUGGCUCACUGGGGGAAAAACACCUUGGCCCGACAGAAGGGCAGGCACAUGGGUAUAGGGAAGAGGAAGGGUACUGCCAACGCUCGGAUGCCCAAGAAGGUGACCUGGAUGAGAAGGAUGAGGAUCCUGCACCGGCUUCUCAGGACAUACCGGGAAUCUAAGACGAUUGACCGCUGAAGGUCAAAGGGAAUGUAUUCAGAAGCAAGCAGAUUCUCAUGGGGCACAUCCACAAACUGAAGGCAGACAAGGCCCGCAAGAAGCUCCUGGCUGGCCAGGUUGAGGCUCGCAGGUCUAAGACCAAGGAAGCACAAGAGCACCAGGAGGAGCACCUCUGGGCCAAAAAGGAAGAGAGCAUCAAGACUCUGUCCAAGGAGGAAGAGGCCAAGAAAUAAAGCUUCCCUCGUGUC